rnacentral:rRNA from 2 species
UACAACUUUCAACAACGGAUCUCUUGGCUCUCGCAUCGAUGAAGAACGCAGCGAAAUGCGAUAAGUAAUGUGAAUUGCAGAAUUCAGUGAAUCAUCGAAUCUUUGAACGCACCUUGCACUCCUUGGUAUUCCGAGGAGUAUGCCUGUUUGAGUGUCAU